UACGUAGGGUGCAAGCGUUGUCCGGAAUUAUUGGGCGUAAAGAGCUCGUAGGCGGUUUGUUGCGUCGGCUGUGAAAACCUGAGGCUCAACCUCAGGCCUGCAGUCGAUACGAGCAGACUAGAGUGUUGCAGGGGAGACUGGAAUUCCUGGUGUAGCGGUGAAAUGCGCAGAUAUCAGGAGGAGCACCGAUGGCGAAGGCAGGUCUCUGGGCCACUACUGACGCUGAGAAGCGAAAGCAUGGGGAGCAAACGGG
rnacentral:rRNA from 1 species